UACAGAGGUCUCAACCGUUGUUCGGAUUCAUUGGGCGUAAAGGGUGCGUAGGCGGUUUGUCGCGUCUGCCGUGAAAGUCCGGGCUCAACUCCGGAUCUGCGGUGGGUACGGGCAGACUAGAGUGAUGUAGGGGAGACUGGAAUUCCUGGUGUAGCGGUGAAAUGCGCAGAUAUCAGGAGGAACACCAAUGGCGAAGGCAGCUCGCUGGGACGGUACUGACGCUGAGACGCGAAAGCGUGGGGAGCAAACAGG
rnacentral:rRNA from 1 species